rnacentral:rRNA from 1 species
CACGCUGUAAACUAUGGACGCUAGCCGUUGGGUAGCUUGCUAUUCAGUGGCGCAGCUAACGCAUUAAGCGUCCCGCCUGGGGAGUNCAACGCGCAGAACCUUACCAGGGUUUGACAUCCCAAGACCGCCUAUGAAAGUAGGUUUCCCCGCAAGGGGCUUGGAGACAGGUGC